rnacentral:rRNA from 1 species
UGGGGAAUAUUGCACAAUGGGCGCAAGCCUGAUGCAGCCAUGCCGCGUGUGUGAAGAAGGCCUUCGGGUUGUAAAGCACUUUCAGCGAGGAGGAAGGUGGUGAACUUAAUACGUUCAUCAAUUGACGUUACUCGCAGAAGAAGCACCGGCUAACUCCGUGCCAGCAGCCGCGGUAAUACGGAGGGUGCAAGCGUUAAUCGGAAUUACUGGGCGUAAAGCGCACGCAGGCGGUUUGUUAAGUCAGAUGUGAAAUCCCCGGGCUCAACCUGGGAACUGCAUUUGAAACUGGCAAGCUAGAGUCUCGUAGAGGGGGGUAGAAUUCCAGGUGUAGCGGUGAAAUGCGUAGAGAUCUGGAGGAAUACCGGUGGCGAAGGCGGCCCCCUGGACGAAGACUGACGCUCAGGUGCGAAAGCGUGGGGAGCAAAACAGGAUUAGAUACCCUGGUAGUCCACGCUGUAAAACGAUGUCGAUUUUGGAGGUUGUGCCCUUGAGGCGUGGCUUCCGGAGCUAACGCGUUAAAUCGACCGCCUGGGGAGUACGGCCGC